rnacentral:ribozyme from 12 species
AAAUUCAGAGAAUGUCCAGCAAGAAAUAUCACAAUUACAAUUACAAUCACAAUCACAUUUUUUUUUAUUUUUUAUUUUUUAUUUUUUUAUUAUAUUCUUCUUCUUCUUCUUAUUAUUAUUUUUGAUGAUCUUGAUACAGAUGGGAAUGGGUCUGUG